GGCCAAGUGAUUAAGGGCGCACGGUGGAUGCCUUGGCACCAGGAACCGAUGAAGGACGUGGGAGGCCGCGAUAGUCCCCGGGGAGUUGUCAACCGAGCUGUGAUCCGGGGGUGUCCGAAUGGGGGAACCCGGCAGUCGUUAUGGGCUGUCACCUGUCGCUGAAUGUAUAGGCGGCAGGGGGGAACGCGGGGAAGUGAAACAUCUCAGUACCCGCAGGAAGAGAAAACAAGAGUGAUUCCGGGAGUAGUGGUGAGCGAAACCGGAGGAGGCUAAACCGUGGCGGUGUGAUACUCGGCAGGGGUUGCCGUUGCGGUGUUGUGGGAGCUGUCUGGACUGGUCUGCCGGCUGGUCGGCGAGUGAGAAAGCACAUGUAUAGGCGAAGGGCAUGCGAAUGGCCUGGCGUAGAGGGUAAGACCCCCGUAGCUGAAAUGCGUGUGUCUCGCUGGGAUGGUGUCCCGAGUAGCACAGGGCCCGAGGAAUCCUGUGUGAAUCUGCCAGGACCACCUGGUAAGCCUAAAUAUUCCCUGGUGACCGAUAGCGGAUAGUACCGUGAGGGAAUGGUGAAAAGUACCGCGGGAGCGGAGUGAAAGAGUACCUGAAACCGUGUGCCUACAAGCCGUGGGAGCGUCGCGCUGCAUGCCUUGUGUGUGUGGUGUCGUGACUGCGUGCCUUUUGAAGAAUGAGCCUGCGAGUUCGCGGUGUGUCGCGUGGUUAACCCGUGUGUGGGGUAGCCGUAGCGAAAGCGAGUCCGAAGAGGGCGUUGGUGGCAUGCCCGAGACCCGAAGCGGGGUGAUCUAGCCAUGGGCAGGGUGAAGCGUGGGUAAGACUGCGUGGAGGCCCGAACCCACCAGAGUUGAAAAUCUGGGGGAUGACCUGUGGUUAGGGGUGAAAGGCCAAUCAGACUCCGUGAUAGCUGGUUCUCCCCGAAAUGCAUUUAGGUGCAGCGUCGUGUGGUGCUUGCCGGAGGUAGGGCUCUGGGUAGGUGAUGGGCCUGACCGGGUUACUGACCUUAGCCAAACUUCGAAUGCCGGUAAGUUGAGCGCGGCAGUGAGACUGCGGGGGAUAAGCUUCGUGGUCGAGAGGGAAACAGCCCAGAGCAUCGACUAAGGCCCCUAAGCGUGUGCUAAGUGGGAAAGGAUGUGGAGUCGCUUAGACAGCCAGGAGGUUGGCUUAGAAGCAGCCAUCCUUGAAAGAGUGCGUAAUAGCUCACUGGUCGAGUGAUUCUGCGCCGACAAUGUAGCGGGGCUCAAGUACACCGCCGAAGUCGUGUCGCCGCCCUUUUGUGGGUGGUGGGUAGGGGAGCGUCGUGCACCGGGUGAAGCAUCCUUGUGAGGGUGGUGUGGAUGGUGUGCGAGUGAGAAUGCAGGCAUGAGUAGCGUUACGCACGUGAGAAACGUGUGCGCCGAUUGACUAAGGGUUCCUGGGUCAAGCUGAUCUGCCCAGGGUAAGUCGGGGCCUAAGGCGAGGCCGACAGGCGUAGUCGAUGGAUAACCGGUUGAUAUUCCGGUACCCGCUGUGAAGCGCCAGCGCUGAGGCAGGUGAUGCUAAGCCUGUGCCGCUGCCGUCUACUGGCCUUUGGUUGGUGGGUGGUGUGUGGUGGGGGUGAACCGAUCCUGUAGUAGGUGAGUGAUGGGGUGACGCAGGAAGGUAGUCCAGCCCGGGCGGUGGUUGUCCCGGGGUAAGGGUGUGGCCCGAGUGGUAGGGAAAUCCGCUGCUCUUUGUGGGUGAGACCUGAUGCCGAGCCGAUUGUGGCGAAGUGGAUGAUCCUAUGCUGUCGAGAAAAGCCUCUAGCGAGUUUCAUGGCGGCCCGUACCCUAAACCGACUCAGGUGGUCAGGUAGAGUAUACCGAGGCGUUCGGGUGAACUGUGGUUAAGGAACUCGGCAAAUUGCCCCCGUAACUUCGGGAGAAGGGGGGCCGUUCCUGGUGAUCCGCCUUUGCGUGGGGAGCUGGGGGUGGCCGCAGAGACCAGCGAGAAGCGACUGUUUAUUAAAAACACAGGUCCGUGCGAAGCUGUAAGGCGAUGUAUACGGACUGACGCCUGCCCGGUGCUGGAACGUUAAGGGGACUGGUUAGCUGCAUCUUGUGGUGUGGCGAAGCUGGGAACUUAAGCGCCAGUAAACGGCGGUGGUAACUAUAACCAUCCUAAGGUAGCGAAAUUCCUUGUCGGGUAAGUUCCGACCUGCACGAAUGGCGUAACGACUUCUCGGCUGUCUCAACCACAGGCCCGGUGAAAUUGCAGUACGAGUAAAGAUGCUCGUUUCGCGCAGCAGGACGGAAAGACCCCGGGACCUUUACUACAGCUUGAUAUUGGUGUUCGGUUCGGUUUGUGUAGGAUAGGUGGGAGACUGUGAAGCUCGAGCGCCAGCUUGGGUGGAGUCGUUGGUGAAAUACCACUCUGAUCGUGCUGGAUGCCUGAACCUGGGUCCGUGAUCCGGAUCGGGGACAGUGUCUGGUGGGUAGUUUAACUGGGGCGGUUGCCUCCUAAAGGGUAACGGAGGCGCCCAAAGGUUCCCUCAGCCUGGUUGGUUAUCAGGUGGUGAGUGUAAGUGCACAAGGGAGCUUGACUGUGAGACUGGCGGGUCGAGCAGGUGCGAAAGCAGGGACUAGUGAUCCGGCGGUGGCUUGUGGGAGCGCCGUCGCUCAUCGGAUAAAAGGUACCCCGGGGAUAACAGGCUGAUCUUCCCCAAGAGUCCGUAUCGACGGGAUGGUUUGGCACCUCGAUGUCGGCUCGUCGCAUCCUGGGGCUGGAGUUGGUCCCAAGGGUUGGGCUGUUCGCCCAUUAAAGCGGUACGCGAGCUGGGUUUAGAACGUCGUGAGACAGUUCGGUCCCUAUCCGCUGCGCGCGUUGGAGUCUUGAGAAGGGCUGUCCCUAGUACGAGAGGACCGGGACGGACGGACCUCUGGUGUGCCAGUUGUCCCGCCAGGGGCAUGGCUGGUUGGCUACGUUCGGGAAGGAUAACCGCUGAAGGCAUCUAAGCGGGAAGCUUGCUUCGAGAUGAGGGCUCCUGCCUCCUUUGAGGGGUUAAGGCUCCCGGGAGAUGACCGGGUUGAUAGGCCAGGGAUGGAAGCCUCGUGAGAGGUGGAGUUGACUGGUACUAAUAGGCCGAGGGCUUGUCCGC
rnacentral:rRNA from 1 species